GAUCCUGGCUCGGGAUGAACGCUAGCUACAGGCUUAACACAUGCAAGUCGAGGGGAAACGACAUCGAAAGCUUGCUUUUGAUGGGCGUCGACCGGCGCACGGGUGAGUAACGCGUAUCCAACCUGCCUACCACUUGGGGAUAACCUUGCGAAAGUAAGACUAAUACCCAAUGAUAUCCCACGAAGACAUCUGAAUGGGAUUAAAAGAUUUAUCGGUGAUGGAUGGGGAUGCGUCUGAUUAG
rnacentral:rRNA from 1 species